UCGUUAAUUCCACGUAACCCAUUUCGUCGUAAAAACGUCGUUAACGAAAACGCGGGCCUUUGUAUUUCGUCGCUAUUUCGUCGUAAAUGAAAACGCGGGCCUCUGUAAUUCCUCGUAAGUUUACGAGGAAAUUACGAGGACAAGUAAUCUUAUAUAUAUCCCGAGCGAGCUCGCUCCGUCUUUCCUCUCCACUUCCUCCCUAAUUCGUAGCAAUGGUAAGUCUCUCUAAUUCCUCUCUAGUUUGAUUAGUUUAGGAUAGAUUAGGUGGUUAGUAUAGGGAAUUCAGAUAGGUUUAUGGAUCUUAUGUUAUUUAGUGUUGAUUAGGUGG
rnacentral:lncRNA from 1 species